rnacentral:rRNA from 1 species
CCCUUAGAUGUUCUGGGCCGCACACGCGCUACACUGAAGGAGGCAGCGUGUACUCCUGGAUCGAAAGAUUUGGGUAACCCGCGAAUCUCCUUCGUGCUAGGGAUUGAGGUUUGCAAUUAUCCUUCAUGAACGAGGAAUUCCCAGUAAGUGCAAGUCAUAAGCUUGCGCUGACUACGUCCCUGCCCUUUGUACACACCGCCCGUCGCUACUACCGAUUGAGUGAUCCGGUGAAUAAUUCGGACUGCAGCACUGCUUGGUCUCCAGGCUUUGCAGCGGAAAGUUUAGUGAACCUUAUCACUUAGAGGAAGGAGAANUCGUAACA